rnacentral:rRNA from 1 species
AGUGAACGCUGGCGGCAGGCCUAACACAUGCAAGUCGAGCGGCAGCAGGAGCUUCGGGCUGCCGUCGAGUGGCCGACGGGUGAGGAAUGCGUCGGAAUCUGCCCUUUCGUUGGGGAUAACGUAGCGUAACGAACCCUAAUCUCGCAUCCGAUAUACGGUUGAAAGGGAGGGACCGCAAGGCCUAGCGCAGCUAGCUGACACUACGUCGGAUUAGCUAGUUGGCGGGGUAAAGGCGCACCAAGGCGACGAUCCGUAGCUGAUCUGAGAGGGUGAUCGGCCACACUGGAACUGAGACACGGUCCAGACUCCUACGGGAGGCAGCAGUGGGGAAUAUUGGGCAAUGGGCGAAAGCCUGAUGCAGCCAUGCCGCGUGUGUGAAGAAGGUCUUCGGGUUGUAAAGCACUUUUAUCCGGGAAGAAAUCCUGUCUGCUAAUACCUGGCCGUGAUGACGGUACCGGAAGAAUAAGCACCGGCUAACUUCGUG